GCAUAUCAAUAAGCGGAGGAAAAGAAACCAACAGGGAUUGCCCUAGUAACGGCGAGUGAAGCGGCAACAGCUCAAAUUUGAAAUCUGGCUCUCGGGCCCGAGUUGUAAUUUGUAGAGGAUACUUUUGAUGCGGUGCCUUCCGAGUUCCCUGGAACGGGACGCCAUAGAGGGUGAGAGCCCCGUCUGGUUGGAUGCCAAAUCUCUGUAAAGUUCCUUCGACGAGUCGAGUAGUUUGGGAAUGCUGCUCUAAAUGGGAGGUAUAUGUCUUCUAAAGCUAAAUACCGGCCAGAGACCGAUAGCGCACAAGUAGAGUGAUCGAAAGAUGAAAAGCACUUUGAAAAGAGAGUUAAAAAGUACGUGAAAUUGUUGAAAGGGAAGCGUUUAUGACCAGACUUGGGCUUGGUUAAUCAUCUGGGGUUCUCCCCAGUGCACUUUUCCAGUCCAGGCCAGCAUCAGUUUUCCCCGGGGGAUAAAGACUUCGGGAAUGUGGCUCUCUUCGGGGAGUGUUAUAGCCCGUUGUGUAAUACCCUGGGGGGGACUGAGGUUCGCGCAUCUGCAAGGAUGCUGGCGUAAUGGUCAUCAACGACCCGUCUUGAAACACGGACCAAGGAGUCGUCUUCGUAUGCGAGUGUUCGGGUGUCAAACCCCUACGCGUAAUGAAAGUGAACGCAGGUGAGAGCUUCGGCGCAUCAUCGACCGAUCCUGAUGUUCUCGGAUGGAUUUGAGUAAGAGCAUACGGGGCCGGACCCGAAAGAAGGUGAACUAUGCCUGUAUAGGGUGAAGCCAGAGGAAACUCUGGUGGAGGCUCGCAGCGGUUCUGACGUGCAAAUCGAUCGUCAAAUAUGGGCAUGGGGGCGAAAGACUAAUCGAACCUUCUAGUAGCUGGUUUCCGCCGAAG
rnacentral:rRNA from 1 species